GACUGAGUGGUUUAGUGGUAAAAUUAGCCGUUGCCAAAAGCACAAUCGGCUAGCCCCGGGUUCGAUUCCCGGCUCAGUCA
rnacentral:tRNA from 1 species